UACGUAGGGGCUAGCGUUGUCCGGAAUCAUUGGGCGUAAAGAGCGUGUAGGCGGUCCGGUAAGUCCGCUGUGAAAGUCGGGGGCUCAACCCUCGAAUGCCGGUGGAUACUGUCGGGCUAGAGUGCGGAAGAGGCGAGUGGAAUUCCUGGUGUAGCGGUGAAAUGCGCAGAUAUCAGGAGGAACACCUAUUGCGAAGGCAGCUCGCUGGGACGUAACUGACGCUGAGACGCGAAAGCGUGGGGAGCGAACAGG
rnacentral:rRNA from 1 species